AUGGUUGGCUUGGAAAGGAUCCAGCCCAUGGAUCCAUGCUCAUCCCAUGGGCAGGGACGGCUCAUCCAGCCUGGCCUAAAUCUUGGAAAAGCCUCUGUGACUCCCUCCACCCUCUCCAGGAGGUUUUCCUGCCAUCCACAGUCCUUUUGGGGUGAAAUCCCUGUUCCUGUUCCCAAAUCCCCAUCCCUGUUCCCAAAUCCUCAUCCCUAUUCCCAAAUCCCCAUUCCCAAAUCCUCAUCCCUGUUCCCAAAUCCUCAUCCCUGUCCCCAAAUCCCUGUUCCCAAAUCCUCAUCCCUGUUCCCAAAUCCCCAUCCCUGUUCCCAAAUCCUCAUCCCCAUUCCCAAAUCCUCAUCCCCGUUCCCAAAUCCCCAUCCCUGUUCCCAAAUCCUUAUCCGCAUUCCCAAAUCCCCAUCCCUGUCCCCAAAUCCCCAUUCCCAAAUCCUCAUCUCUGUUCCCAAAUCCUCAUCCCAUCCCAUCCCAUCCCAAGGCUGGAAUUGCAUCCCAGCAUCCCUGGGAAGGCGAAAAAUCAUCGGAAAAGCCUGGAAAAACUCCAAUUCCAGGCAGCUCUGCCAGAGGGGAAAAUUGGGAUGGGUUUGCCCCUGGAAAACCAAGGGAAAAUCCCACCUGGGGCUGUUUGUCCUGCUCCAUUUGGCACCUGAAACCACCCGGAAAAUCCCGGCGAAAAAAUCCUGUAAAGGCAACAAAACCCACCUGGAGGGAACAAAAUAUUCCCUGAACUUUUCCAGCCUUUUCCAUCUUUUUCCAGCCUUUUCCAGCCUUUUCCAGCCUUUUCCAGCCUUUUCCAGCCUUUCCCAGCCUCAGCAGUGGGAUCGGAUCCCAGCUCUGGAUGCAGGAAAAAGCGGGAGCAGCUCCAUCAAGACUCAGAUCCUUGGCAUAAAAGCGGAUUUUACAUCAGGACACACAAAACCAGGGAAAAUUCCUGGAGUCCGUGUGAGGAUCCGGGCUCCCUUCGCAUUUUCCUGGAUUUUUUUUUGGUCCUUCCAACCUGGAAUGUGGAUUCAGGGAGGUGCAAAAAUCCCUUUGGAAAAGGGGAAGGAGAUGAGGGGAAGGAAUAAAAACAUUCCAGGAAAAAUGUGGAGGAUUUAG
rnacentral:lncRNA from 1 species